rnacentral:rRNA from 1 species
UUUAUGGAGAGUUUGAUCCUGGCUCAGGAUGAACGCUGGCGGCGUGCCUAAUACAUGCAAGUCGAGCGAACGGACGAGAAGCUUGCUUCUCUGGUGUUAGCGGCGGACGGGUGAGUAACACGUGGAUAACCUACCUAUAAGACUGGGAUAACUUCGGGAAACCGGAGCUAAUACCGGAUAAUAUU